GGGAGACCAAAGGUGGAAAAGAACUUAAUCAGACUCUUAAUAAUUGUCUUCGCUGUAAUUAUCCGGAGAGGAAUAGCCUCCGGGUACCGAGUGGCGCUGCACAUAAUGGUAAGCAGAAACUGGUUACCUGUUCGAGUUUUUGGUAAUGGACCCACACAGUCAACAAUCACCCUCUCAAACGAUUCUCCAAUCACAGGAAUCGGGUGAAGUGGCACACGAGGAACAGGUUGGUUCACUUUCCCUGCAAGUUGACAUACAUGACAGGUUUUACAGUAUUGCACAAUGUCUGAUUUUAAUCCUGGCCAGAAGAAAUGUCGGAGGACUCUGUUGUAUGUUUUAGUUACCCCUAAAUGUCCGGACCAUGCAGGGUUAUGAGCCAGUGACAAUACUUGCUGCCGUAAUGGUGAUGGAACAACUACCUGCCAAACUGUAUCCCAGUCCUCACCUGUUUUAUGUGCAGUCCAUUUACGCAUUAGAACACCAGCGUCCACAAGCCUCUCUGAUGUGAUGGAUGACAACACAUCACCUAACUGGGGAGCGACCCCGCAUCCCCCUUUCUCAGCCUGCACAGAAGGAACAGUAGGAGGGUCUGAAAAUCGUGAUGCACCGACCACUGGUGAAGCGGAUGUCCUGCUCUGACUGGAUGCUGUAAACACCAUUUUAUGUGUUAAGGCAUAUUCAUCUGCCAGGACCGCUGCCUGACCCAACGUCGCCACCUUCUUUUCACUAAGAUGCAUCACAAUUCUUUCAGACGGGCCGUUUUCAGCUUCAACCGAGCAACCUCUACAGACUCGGGGGACACAGGAGACAACGGGUCAUACUUUGGCAGAGUUCGAGGCACCGGAGUUUCCCCACCUCCCACACCGCCCCUCAAUCGUGCAGGCGAGGGAUUUUCUACGGCACCCUCGUCCUCCCUCUCAUCCUCUGUUUCCACAUCCUCCACAGCCAUAACUCCUACCCUUGACAGACUCAAUAAAUGGUUUUUGAUCACCAUUACUAAAUUUGCUUUACGAGCCUGCCUAUCAACUGUAAUUUUGUAGUAGUCCACUAGCGCUAACAAAUCAACCUUACGCAGGUUAACCAAUGAACCCAAUGAGGGCUCCGCAAUAAAGCCUGCCACAUCUGAAGUAGCCGCCAUGCUCACACCUCAUCCAGUACAAUCCUGCACUACUCAGUACUCAAACACCACAAGCUACAAAUACUAACAAACUACACGACAGAACAACAACUACUAUACUUUACUCACACCCCAACACCACACCCCAAUCACCGAGCACAGGGCAAUCCGAGCAGCGGGGCGCCAAGAUCCCAGACGAGCCCCCAUUUGUUACGUUCUAACUCCCAAAAGGGAGGGGAGCCUGACAACCCCCUGCUCGGGCCCACCGAUGCCAGCGAAGGAGGUAUGGAGUCGCAGUGCGAGAAAAGGACACAAACACCAAAUACCGUAUAAAAACAAAGCUUUUAUUUGGCCAUGGUAAUAUUAUACAUAAUAAACCAUUUUCUGGGAAAAGGGGAGGACUAGACGGACCAAAACAAAGAAAUAAACAAAAAAAAAACCCACCCCUAACCUAUACUAAUCCCCAAUAAAAAAAUAAAUAAAUACAAUCCCUAUCUGGCACACGAUCAAGGCGCCCUAACCAAACUUACAGCUGGUGGUCCGCCCAGGUCUAGCUAGUGUUUCUAGACAGAGAAGUAUACCUACGGGUGAGGUAUGUAUACCCCGGGGUAGCUCUAAAUCUACUCCCCAACUCCCUAUAAACAACAGAGAGAAAAAAAAAAAAAAAAGAAUCCACAAACACACAAGUGCUCCGUCCUGCUACUACAAGUUCCAAAAAAAAAUUGGAACACAAGUUAGGUUUACUAACACACAAAAACAGUUUAAAACUAUUCUCAGUUGUUUCAAUCA
ensembl:lncRNA